rnacentral:rRNA from 1 species
AACGAACGCUGGCGGCAGGCUUAACACAUGCAAGUCGAACGCUCGUAGCAAUACGGGAGUGGCGGACGGGUGAGUAACGCGUGGGAACGUGCCCUGAGGUACGGAAUAACUGAGGGAAACUUCAGCUAAUACCGUAUGAGCCCCGAGAGGGGGAAAGAUUUAUCGCCUUGGGAGCGGCCCGCGUCGGAUUAGCUAGUUGGUGGGGUAACGGCCUACCAAGGCUUCGAUCCGUAGCUGGUCUGAGAGGACGAUCAGCCACACUGGGACUGAGACACGGCCCAGACUCCUACGGGAGGCAGCAGUGGGGAAUCUUGCGCAAUGGGGGCAACCCUGACGCAGCCAUGCCGCGUGGACGAUGAAGGCCUUAGGGGUUGUAAAGUACUUUUACCCGUGACGAUGAUGACGGUAACGGGGAAUAAGCUCCGGCUAACUUCGUGCCAGCAGCCGCGGUAAU